rnacentral:ncRNA from 21 species
CCAGUACAAACUGAGCAGGCGACGCCCUUUGCAGGGCGUGGGGCCGGGCCGCCCGUGCGGCAGCAGAUGAAGGUAACGGCAUCUGUGGGACAGUU